AACGAACGCUGGCGGCGUGCCUAACACAUGCAAGUCGAACGGGAUUCGGAGCUUGCUCCGAUGAGAGUGGCGCACGGGUGAGUAACGCGUAGGUAAUCUGCCUGAUGAUCUGGGAUAACAGUUCGAAAGGACUGCUAAUACCGGAUAAGCCCACGGAGACCUUGGUCUUUGCGGGAAAAGGGGGGGACCUUCGGGCCUUCCGUCAUCAGAUGAGUCUGCGUACCAUUAGCUAGUUGGUAGGGUAAAGGCCUACCAAGGCGACGAUGGUUAGCUGGUCUGAGAGGAUGAUCAGCCACACUGGAACUGAGACACGGUCCAGACUCCUACGGGAGGCAGCAGUGGGGAAUUUUGCGCAAUGGGGGAAACCCUGACGCAGCAACGCCGCGUGAGUGAUGAAGGCUCUUGGGUCGUAAAGCUCUGACAGAGGGAAAGAAGUGUAUGGUGGUUAAUACCCAUUGUACUUGACGGUACCCUCAAAGGAAGCACCGGCUAACUCCGUGCCAGCAGCCGCCGUAA
rnacentral:rRNA from 1 species